rnacentral:misc_RNA from 1 species
CCAUCAUGUUACCUCAAAUGUGACUGUUAAGGAGUCUUCUAAUGAUGUAACUAGGGACAAAAAUAGUGACAGAAGGCAUAGAGAUGCAUCUCCGGAGAAACGCAGUGACCGUGAAACCUACAGAGCAUCUGAUGUUCCUUGCAAAUUUUUUGCUGCGGGUAAUUGUCGGAAUGGAAAAUAUUGCAGGUUUUCACAUCAGGAUUUGGCCCAUGUAAGUCCUGAUAGGUCACGGGAUGGUAGGCGUUCACUUGACCAAAACACUGAUGAUGUGGCGAAAUUGUGGAAUGGUCCAAAAUGGGGCGCUACAAGUGCUUUAGAUGCUGGAAAGUUGAGUGGGGAUAAAAAUGUGACAAUUGGUACCCCUGAUCAAAGGGGCACUGCACGUGCUGUUGGUGACAAAUGGGGUCAUUGUUUGGAGGAAGAUAAGACACUUGGCAAUGCACCAAUUGAUCAUAAAAUGGUCAAGAGUGAAACAGAUCUUACAUGGAAUACAGAAAAUGCUAGUGACAACAUGGUUGCUUCUGAACAAAGGCCAGGUGGUGAGAAUUGGCUUGGAGAUAUGGACAUGUCUCCUGAGUGGAAUUAUAAAUUUCGACAUUCUAACCAUUUUGAUAAGCUUGCUUCUUUAACCAGUUGCAAUCCCAGUAUAACUCGAGAAGUUUCAGAUCAUGCACAUGAUGUCACUGCAGUUGUGCCAUCAUUGACAAAUGAAUCAUCUGCCAAACCUCAGGACUACAAGUUAAAGGAUGUUGGUGCAAAUGCUGUGCCUCACGAUGAUAACAGUGUGACUGGAAAAACUGCCAGUUCUCAUAGUAGUAUUUCUGCCAAUAUUAUAUCUGCGCAAAGCUUAGAUCAGAAUGGCAUGAAUUCAAAUGCUUUACAUCUUUCAG